UGCUGUGAUGACGUAAUUUGCGUCCUACCCAGUGCUCAGUGACAGUUGCCUGCUGUCGGUGCGCUGGCGCUGCCGGGUGACGACUCCCGAGUUCUGAGCA
ensembl:snoRNA SNORD16 Small nucleolar RNA SNORD16